rnacentral:rRNA from 1 species
GUCAGCUCGUGUCGUGAGAUGUUGGGUUAAGUCCCGCAACGAGCGCAACCCUCGACCUUAGUUGCCAGCAUUCAGUUGGGCACUCUAAGGUGACUGCCGGCUAAAAGUCGGAGGAAGUGGGGAUGACGUCAAAUCAUCAUGCCCUUAUGACCUGGGCUACACACGUGCUACAAUGGGCGGUACAAAGGGUCGCGAACCCGCGAGGGGGAGCCAAUCCCAAAAAGCCGCUCUCAGUUCGGAUUGCAGGCUGCAACUCGCCUGCAUGAAGCCGGAAUCGCUAGUAAUCGCGGAUCAGCAUGCCGCGGUGAAUACGUUCCCGGGCCUU